GGUCAAGUGAAGAAGCGCAUACGGUGGAUGCCUUGGCAGUCAGAGGCGAUGAAAGACGUGGUAGCCUGCGAAAAGCUUCGGGGAGUCGGCAAACAGACUUUGAUCCGGAGAUCUCUGAAUGGGGGAACCCACCUAGGAUAACCUAGGUAUCUUGUACUGAAUCCAUAGGUGCAAGAGGCGAACCAGGGGAACUGAAACAUCUAAGUACCCUGAGGAAAAGAAAUCAACCGAGAUUCCCUUAGUAGUGGCGAGCGAACGGGGAUUAGCCCUUAAGCUUCAUUGAUUUUAGCGGAACGCUCUGGAAAGUGCGGCCAUAGUGGGUGAUAGCCCCGUACGCGAAAGGAUCUUUGAAGUGAAAUCGAGUAGGACGGAGCACGAGAAACUUUGUCUGAACAUGGGGGGACCAUCCUCCAAGGCUAAAUACUACUGACUGACCGAUAGUGAACCAGUACCGUGAGGGAAAGGCGAAAAGAACCCCGGAGAGGGGAGUGAAAUAGAACCUGAAACCGUAUGCGUACAAGCAGUGGGAGCCUACUUGUUAGGUGACUGCGUACCUUUUGUAUAAUGGGUCAGCGACUUAUAUUCAGUGGCAAGCUUAACCGUAUAGGGUAGGCGUAGCGAAAGCGAGUCUUAAUAGGGCGUUUAGUCGCUGGGUAUAGACCCGAAACCGGGCGAUCUAUCCAUGAGCAGGUUGAAGGUUAGGUAACACUGACUGGAGGACCGAACCCACUCCCGUUGAAAAGGUAGGGGAUGACUUGUGGAUCGGAGUGAAAGGCUAAUCAAGCUCGGAGAUAGCUGGUUCUCCUCGAAAGCUAUUUAGGUAGCGCCUCAUGUAUCACUCUGGGGGGUAGAGCACUGUUUCGGCUAGGGGGUCAUCCCGACUUACCAAACCGAUGCAAACUCCGAAUACCCAGAAGUGCCGAGCAUGGGAGACACACGGCGGGUGCUAACGUCCGUCGUGAAAAGGGAAACAACCCAGACCGCCAGCUAAGGUCCCAAAGUUGUGGUUAAGUGGUAAACGAUGUGGGAAGGCUUAGACAGCUAGGAGGUUGGCUUAGAAGCAGCCACCCUUUAAAGAAAGCGUAAUAGCUCACUAGUCGAGUCGGCCUGCGCGGAAGAUGUAACGGGGCUCAAACCACACACCGAAGCUGCGGGUGUCACGCAAGUGACGCGGUAGAGGAGCGUUCUGUAAGCCUGUGAAGGUGAGUUGAGAAGCUUGCUGGAGGUAUCAGAAGUGCGAAUGCUGACAUGAGUAACGACAAUGGGUGUGAAAAACACCCACGCCGAAAGACCAAGGGUUCCUGCGCAACGUUAAUCGACGCAGGGUUAGUCGGUUCCUAAGGCGAGGCUGAAAAGCGUAGUCGAUGGGAAACAGGUUAAUAUUCCUGUACUUCUGGUUACUGCGAUGGAGGGACGGAGAAGGCUAGGCCAGCUUGGCGUUGGUUGUCCAAGUUUAAGGUGGUAGGCUGAAAUCUUAGGUAAAUCCGGGGUUUCAAGGCCGAGAGCUGAUGACGAGUCGUCUUUUAGAUGACGAAGUGGUUGAUGCCAUGCUUCCAAGAAAAGCUUCUAAGCUUCAGGUAACCAGGAACCGUACCCCAAACCGACACAGGUGGUCGGGUAGAGAAUACCAAGGCGCUUGAGAGAACUCGGGUGAAGGAACUAGGCAAAAUGGCACCGUAACUUCGGGAGAAGGUGCGCCGGCUAGGGUGAAGGAUUUACUCCGUAAGCUCUGGCUGGUCGAAGAUACCAGGCCGCUGCGACUGUUUAUUAAAAACACAGCACUCUGCAAACACGAAAGUGGACGUAUAGGGUGUGACGCCUGCCCGGUGCCGGAAGGUUAAUUGAUGGGGUUAGCGCAAGCGAAGCUCUUGAUCGAAGCCCCGGUAAACGGCGGCCGUAACUAUAACGGUCCUAAGGUAGCGAAAUUCCUUGUCGGGUAAGUUCCGACCUGCACGAAUGGCGUAACGAUGGCGGCGCUGUCUCCACCCGAGACUCAGUGAAAUUGAAAUCGCUGUGAAGAUGCAGUGUAUCCGCGGCUAGACGGAAAGACCCCGUGAACCUUUACUGUAGCUUUGCACUGGACUUUGAGCCUGCUUGUGUAGGAUAGGUGGGAGGCUUUGAAGCGUGGACGCCAGUUCGCGUGGAGCCAUCCUUGAAAUACCACCCUGGCAUGCUUGAGGUUCUAACUCUGGUCCGUGAUCCGGAUCGAGGACAGUGUAUGGUGGGCAGUUUGACUGGGGCGGUCUCCUCCUAAAGAGUAACGGAGGAGUACGAAGGUGCGCUC
rnacentral:rRNA from 1 species